rnacentral:misc_RNA from 1 species
UCCGUGUUAACCACGGCAGUCCCCGAAGGGAAAAUCCUAUUUCUAGGACGGUCUGCCGUUGUCUAGCCCAGGUAAGGUUCUUCGCGUUGCGUCGAAUUGAACCACAUGCUCCACCGCUUGUGCGGGCCCCCGUCAAUUCCUUUGAGUUUUAAUCUUGCGACCGUACUCCCCAGGCGGGGUACUUAGUGCGUUAGCUGCGGCGCUGAACGUGUCGAAACGCCCAGCACCUAGUACCCAUCGUUUACAGCUAGGACUAC